UGCCUAACACAUGCAAGUCGAACGAGAAAGUUCCUUCGGGAGCGAGUAAAGUGGCGCAAGGGUGAGUAACACGUGAAUAAUCUGCCCUCAAACCCGGGAUAACUUGGCGAAAGCCGAGCUAAUACUGGAUAAGACCACGUUUCAGAAGAAACGCGGUAAAAGGAGUCAAAAGCUUUGUUUGAGGAUGAGUUCGCGGACCAUUAGCUAGUUGGUGAGAUAACAGCCCACCAAGGCAAUGAUGGUUAGCCGGCCUGAGAGGGUGAUCGGCCACACUGGAACUGAGACACGGUCCAGACUCCUACGGGAGGCAGCAGUGGGGAAUUUUGCGCAAUGGGCGAAAGCCUGACGCAGCAACGCCGCGUGAGCGAUGUAGGCCUUCGGGUUGUAAAGCUC
rnacentral:rRNA from 1 species